UCUUGAGCAGAUUUUUAUUUGGUUGGUCUGUGGUGGACUCACAGUCUACAAUUUUAACAAACUUCCAGGUAACCACACUUUGACUAGCAAGACAUCCUACACAUACUGCUUUUCAUGAGGUAGCAUAGGAAAAUGCCUGGUAUAUAGUAGGUGAACAGUAAAUAGUGAUAGAAUCUGACUAAACAGAACAAGGCACAUAAAUGGCAACAAAGAUGAACAAGAAUGAUCUUAGGCAGUAGGGAUAGAGAAGAGCAUAAACUUUAGUACAUGAAGCAGUAUAACAUUUUUAUGGGAGGGAGUGCUGGGGGAGUGUUAAGUGGACAAGGAAUCAUAAGUAAGUAACAAGCAUAACACUGAAAGACUACUCACACUCUAGGCUAGACAUUAAGGCAAGUGAAUGAUGGGCUAGGAGAUAGGAGGGGCUGAGAGGCUGAAAUCAUGAGGGCACUUGAAAGAUGGAGAAGUUGAAAGAAGCUAGAUGAUGGUCUGAGGGGAAUUUCAGUGAUACCUUAGAGGAGGGCCAGGCACAGUGGCUCACGCCUGUAAUCCCAGCACAUUGGGAGGCUGAGGCGGGCAGAUCACUUGAGCUCAGGAAUUUGAGACCAGCCUGGGCAACGUGGCAAAACCUCAUCUCUACAAAAAAUGCAAAAAUUAGCUGGGUGUGGUGGCAUAUACCUGUAGUCCCAGCUAUGCAGGAGGCUGAGGUGGGAGGAUUGCUUAAGCCCAGGAGGUCACAGCUGCAGUGAGCCAAGCCGAGAUUGUGCCACUGCACUCCAGCCUGGGCAACAGAUUGAGACCCUGUGUCAAAAAAGAAAAAGGAAAGAGAGAAAGAGAGAGAGAAAGAAAAGAACAAAGAGAAAGAAAAAGAAGAGAAAGAAAAAAGAAAAGAAAAAGAGAAAGAAGACUUAGAGGGAGAUAAUCUCUUAGUGAUUUGCUUUCCUGUCUACUCCACUACAUAGUUUGUCUUGUAAGCCUAAGAAAGAUGUUUUGCCUUUGAAGAUAAUAGUAACUCCUUCAGCUACAUUUAGAGAUCCUGUGUCAACAUAUCUAGCAUACCCUUUCUUUUUUGUAAUUAUACACUUAAGUGGAUGUUCAGUUUGAGACAUACUGUGAAAAGGUUGGUUUAAAAGCCUUUUCUGUGCCAGA
rnacentral:lncRNA from 1 species